UGCAGUCGUACGCGAAAGAAGGGCAACCUUCGAGUAAAGUGGCGCACGGGUGAGUAACACGUGGAUAACCUGCCCCAAAGUCUGGGAUAACGUGCCGAAAGGUGCGCUAAUACCGGAUACUUUUGUGCCUCACAAGAGGUAUAAAGAAAGGAGGCCUCUGCUUGCAAGCUUUCGCUUUGGGAUGGGUCCGCGGCCUAUCAGGUAGUUGGUAGGGUAACGGCCUACCAAGCCUACGACGGGUAGCUGGUCUGAGAGGACGAUCAGCCACAUUGGGACUGAGACACGACCCAGACUCCUACGGGAGGCAGCAGUGGGGAAUAUUGGGCAAUGGGAGAAAUCCUGACCCAGCAACGCCGCGUGGAGGAUGAAGGCCUUCGGGUUGUAAACUCCUGUCAGCAGGGAAAAAGAUUGCAAAAGCUAAUACCUUUUGCAAUUUGAUGGUACCUGCUAAGGAAGCACCAGCUAACUACGUGCCAGCAGCCGCGGUAAUACGUAGGGUGCAGGCGUUAUUCGGAAUCACUGGGCGUAAAGGGCGCGCAGGCGGUUUUGUAAGUCUAAAGUGAAAUCCUUGGGCUUAACCCAGGGGCUGCUUUAGAUACUGCAAAACUCGAGUUCGGGAAAAGCAAGCGGAAUUCCUGGUGAAGGGGUGAAAUCCGUAGAUAUCAGGAAGAACACCAGUGGCGAAAGCGGCUUGCUAGAACGCAACUGACGCUUAGGCGCGAAAGCGUGGGGAGCAAACAGGA
rnacentral:rRNA from 1 species